AUUGAACGCUGGCGGCAGGCUUAACACAUGCAAGUCGAGCGGUAACAUUUCUAGCUUGCUAGAAGAUGACGAGCGGCGGACGGGUGAGUAAUACUUAGGAAUCUACCUAGUAGUGGGGGAUAGCACGGGGAAACUCGUAUUAAUACCGCAUACGACCUACGGGAGAAAGGGGGCAGUUUACUGCUCUCGCUAUUAGAUGAGCCUAAGUCGGAUUAGCUAGAUGGUGGGGUAAAGGCCUACCAUGGCGACGAUCUGUAGCUGGUCUGAGAGGAUGAUCAGCCACACCGGGACUGAGACACGGCCCGGACUCCUACGGGAGGCAGCAGUGGGGAAUAUUGGACAAUGGGGGAAACCCUGAUCCAGCCAUGCCGCGUGUGUGAAGAAGGCCUUUUGGUUGUAAAGCACUUUAAGCAGUGAAGAAGACUCCUCGGUUAAUACCCGUGGACGAUGACAUUAGCUGCAGAAUAAGCACCGGCUAACUCUGUGCCAGCAGCCGCGGUAAUACAGAGGGUGCAAGCGUUAAUCGGAAUUACUGGGCGUAAAGGGAGCGUAGGUGGCUCGAUAAGUCAGAUGUGAAAUCCCCGGGCUCAACCUGGGAACUGCAUCUGAUACUGUUGAGCUAGAGUAUGUGAGAGGAAGGUAGAAUUCCAGGUGUAGCGGUGAAAUGCGUAGAGAUCUGGAGGAAUACCGAUGGCGAAGGCAGCCUUCUGGCAUAAUACUGACACUGAGGCUCGAAAGCGUGGGUAGCAAACAGGAUUAGAUACCCUGGUAGUCCACGCCGUAAACGAUGUCUACUAGUCGUUGGGUCCCUUGAGGACUUAGUGACGCAGCUAACGCAAUAAGUAGACCGCCUGGGGAGUACGGCCGCAAGGUUAAAACUCAAAUGAAUUGACGGGGGCCCGCACAAGCGGUGGAGCAUGUGGUUUAAUUCGAUGCAACGCGAAGAACCUUACCUGGUUUUGACAUAUCUAGAAUCCUGCAGAGAUGCGGGAGUGCUUUCGGGAAUUAGAAUACAGGUGCUGCAUGGCUGUCGUCAGCUCGUGUCGUGAGAUGUUGGGUUAAGUCCCGCAACGAGCGCAACCCUUGUCCUUAGUUACCAGCGGGUUAAGCCGGGAACUCUAAGGAUACUGCCAGUGACAAACUGGAGGAAGGCGGGGACGACGUCAAGUCAUCAUGGCCCUUACGACCAGGGCUACACACGUGCUACAAUGGUAGGUACAGAGGGCAGCUACACAGCGAUGUGAUGCGAAUCUCAAAAAGCCUAUCGUAGUCCAGAUUGGAGUCUGCAACUCGACUCCAUGAAGUAGGAAUCGCUAGUAAUCGCGGAUCAGAAUGCCGCGGUGAAUACGUUCCCGGGCCUUGUACACACCGCCCGUCACACCAUGGGAGUUGAUUGCACCAGAAGUGGAUAGCUUAACCUUCGGGAAGGCGUUCACCACGGUGUGGUUGAUGACUGGGGUG
rnacentral:rRNA from 1 species